CAGCCACCACGGGAAUACAGAGGGUGCGAGCGUUAAUCGGAUUUACUGGGCGUAAAGCGUGCGUAGGCGGCUUCUUAAGUCGGAUGUGAAAUCCCUGAGCUUAACUUAGGAAUUGCAUUCGAUACUGGGAAGCUAGAGUAUGGGAGAGGAUGGUAGAAUUCCAGGUGUAGCGGUGAAAUGCGUAGAGAUCUGGAGGAAUACCGAUGGCGAAGGCAGCCAUCUGGCCUAAUACUGACGCUGAGGUACGAAAGCAUGGGGAGCAAACAGGAUUAGAUACCCGAGUAGUCCCUGUCUCUUAUAC
rnacentral:rRNA from 1 species